GACAAAUCAGAGCCCUUUCUACUACACCGAGGGACCCAUCAGGGUUGCCCUCUUAGCCCCUUGCUUUUCGCGGUCGCUAUGGAACCCCUCGCCAUUAGUAUUAGAAAACACCCCUUAAUCAAACCGAUUCAAUUGGGAAACAUUGACCAUCACAUUUCAUUGUAUGCUGAUGAUGUUGUGGUCUUCGUGUCACAUCCUGAGCAGUCAGUGCCAGUUCUCCUAGACCUUAUUCAGUCAUUCGGUGAGAUUUCAGGUUAUACUAUUAACUGGCAGAAGAGUGAAUUUAUGUCACUAGGUGUAAGCCUCACUUCCGACUUCUUAGAUAACCUAUUAUUUAAAAUAACGGACAAACUGAAAUAUCUUGGGGUUAUUCUGCCAAAGGACCCUAAACAAAUUUUCAAAUUGAAUUUUUUGGAAAAAGUGGAGAAUCUUCGGAAAGACAUUGAUAAAUGGAGAACACUUCCUCUGUCGAUGAUGGGCCGUAUAAAUGCUAUUAAAAUGGUGACCUUACCUAAAUUUUUAUAUCUUUUUCAGGGUCUGCCAAUUUUUUUAACAAAGACUUUUUUUAAAUCAUUAGACUCAAUAAUCCUGCCUUUUGUUUGGGGCUUUAAAGCCCAUAGAAUAUCAAAAACUCACAUAAACCAACAGAGAUGGGAGGAUUGGGAUUACCCUGUUUUCAGCAUUAUUAUUGGGCAGCGAAUGCAAGAGCCCUGGUAUACUGGCAGGAAGGUGAUGCUCAAGAAUUGUCUGCAAAUUCCCCCCCAUGGGCGGCUAUUGAAAGAAGUGGUGUUACUGACAGCUCUCUUCCGGCUCUUCUCUUCGCAGCACCGAUAUCUCCCGCAAUUAGUGGGGUAAAUAAUUUGAUCGUUUUAAAUUCUUUGAAAAUAUGGAAACAAAUUAAGUUGCACUGUAAGUUACCGGAGACCUCAGUUCAUGCCCCAGUUUACUGUAACCAUGCUUUUCCCCCAUCACUAUCGAAUACGUCCUUUAAAAAUUGGAGAUGAAAGGCCUUAAUACUUUGAAAAACUUGUACAUUAACAAAAAGUUUGCUUCAUUUGCUAUGCUGAAGAGCUAUUUUUCUCUUCCGGAUAAGGAUUUCUUCAGAUAUUUGCAAGUUAGAAACUAUGUUCGAACUAAUAUUCCGAAUUUCAUAUCUCUCCCGGAAGAAAAUAAAUUAUGCAAAAUUCUGCUGGGCUCUCCAGGAUCGAAAAAGUUAAUCACGAGUUUUGUUGACGUCUUUGCAGAGCGAAUUAACUUUACCACAGACUCCUUGAGGACUGCAUGGGAGGAGGAGUUGGGUUUGCGGAUCGGGAGUGAGGUCUGGGAGGAGAGUCUUGGGAGGAUUCGGACGUGCUCUAUCAAUGUUUAUGGAUGCGCGUUGGUUCCUGACCCCCAGAUUGCAUUGUUCGGACACUCUCCCUCUUUGAGGAACUGCAGCAUUUCUAUGCAAACGACGGUGGUGUAUGGAAUGGUAAUAGCCAAAAAGGUAAUAUUGAGACUUUGGAAAACUGACAAGGUUCCUCAGUUUAAAAUGUGGUUGAGCGACUUUACUGAGAUUCCCCAUUUGGAGAAGCUACGAUAUGAUGUUGUGGGUUUUUCUAAUAAGUUCUGUAGUAUCUGGCAGCCGGUUUUGGACUAUCUUUCUCGAUCCAAGGUCGACCCCGACACUCGCUCAGUUUCAUAGUAUGCCACCUAUGCCCUUACGGACAGAUAAUACCAUCCUUAAGCAGAAAUUGUACUCA